CCUAACCCUCAUGGUCUCCCCUCUCUCGACUCUCUCCCUCUCACCACCCCCGACGCUCUCUCUCUAACUCUCUCUCUGUCGUGACUCUCUCUCUCUCUCUCUCUCUCUCUCUCUCUCUCUCUCUCCCCCCUUUAGAUGCAGUGAUAGCCAUCGCCAUAUCCACCUCUACUAUCCCUUUCUCAUUCGACUCUCUCUCUAUUUCCCCUUUUCCCUCUCUCAAUCGACCACCUCUCUUUGUGUCCCCUUUCUCAAUCCACCUCUAUUCCUCUAGGGUUUCUCUCUCUCUCUCUCUCUCUCUCUCUCUCUCUCUCUCUGUGUGUGUGUGUGUGUGUGUGUGUGUGUCUUUUACAGACCAGAUCUGCAGGAUCCACGGGUGUCAGAUUUACACCUCAUGUUAUAACAGUUAAAGCUGGAGAGACUCGGUUCCAGCAUGAUGAGCAAGUUUACAUAUCGUUCUUAGAAAUUCUAAGUAUGCCCGGAAAGGAGCGCAUCUCCAUUAGUGAUGUCUAUGAAAAGGAUCAUGCAUAUCUUUUGGUAGCAUCUGAUUCAAAGGAACCAAUCAACACAACCAAUUGAAGAGGUAA